CACAUAUCAGAUAUUAAACUGAUAAGAACAGAUACUACACUUGAUCUUAGCCAAAAGGCCGAGAAAGGUAUGAGUUACUAUGGAGCCUUGCCCCUGCUCUUAUACCCUUCCGGCCGGUUCCGCCGAGCUGCGCAAGCGAGGUGGGACUAA
rnacentral:rRNA from 1 species